AGCUUUAUGCAGUGGCAGUAUUAUAGCCAAUGAGGUUUAUCUGAGAUGUGAUUAUUGCUCAUAAAAUGAGUGAGAGAAUCCCAGUACAGUAGUUUAUGUCUGUAAUCCCAGCUACUCAGGGAGCUGA
rnacentral:snRNA from 1 species